CGGGGCGUUCUUGUUACUGUCGCAGCGGAUCCGGGUGCAGCUCACGCUGGGGUCUGGGGAGCCGACAUGGGUUGGUCUCAGGAGUUGUUCCGCACCGUGUGGAGAGCGCUGUCCAAGGAAGUGAAGGAGCUAGUGGGCACAGACCACUUCGGGAACAAAUACUACUAUAUCCCGGCGUACAAGAACUGGAGAGGACAAAUUAUUCGAGAGAAAAGAAUUAUAGAAGCAGUAAAUAAAAAAGAAGUAGACUAUGAAGUAGGGAAUAUCCCAACAGAAUGGGAAGCUUGGAUUAGAAAAACAAGAAAAACUCCACCUACAAUGGAGGAAAUACUAAAGAAUGAAAAGUAUAGAGAAGAAAUUAAAAUAAAAAGCGAAGAAUUUUAUGAAAAAGAAAAACUCCUUAGUAAAGAAAGCAAUGAACUCUUGGCUCCACCAAUUGAAACUCAGAUUAAAGGGCAUGCAUCUGCCCCAUACUUUGGAAAAGAUGAACCAUCAGUGGAUCCCACCAGCACUGGUCAAACCUUUCAACCGGGAUCCUGGAUGCCACAAGACAGCAAGAAGAAGAGCAAUCAAUGAGUGCCGUGGUAAAAAGUAGUUUCAUUUAUAUGAUCCGUAUUCUCCAUAGAAGAAUCAGAAAAGAUAACCAAAACAAAAUCACCCACAAUGUCAUCACCUCAAGAAAAAUAUUACCACUGGUUUUAAUUAUAGGCUACGAUUUCUUCAUGUUUUGUGCUGAAUAUACAUUCAAGUGCCUAAGACUUGUUCCAUAUCCUAGCUCACCUUCCCACCCACACAGUCGGACCGAGGCUCCACAGAGAACCGCCUGUUUCAACUCCAGCCCAGCAAUGAAUUAACUCAUGCAAAAUGCGGAGCUAAAGGAACUUUGCCAUAAAGAAUAAAGCAGGAGCGAAGGGCCUGGUUCAUGGCGACGUUGUCCCAUUAACACACAGGGGUUCCAGUCCACAGGCCACGCACCUCCCGGGGGCCUCCCUCACUGUCAGGAAUAAAUUUCUUUCUGCUUCCGUUACGGGUUCACGGGCUGGUCUCCGGCCAGAGCCGCGCCCGACGCUGCGCGGUCGGCGCUUCACCGCCUCCGCGCUUGCACCUCUUCCUUGGGGCUCCCUCUCGCUCGUUCCCCCCUCGUCCCCCCACCCGGCCCCUGGGGCCCCGGCACCGAGCCUUCCGGCCCCGGCUAGUGCGGGCCCGCGGGACUUGCGGAGCGGCCGUCCGGGGGGGGGGGGCACGGGGAGGCCCCGCCACACCUCGCGCCCCCGGGCCGCGGCAGCCUCCGCCCGGCGCCAGGGCCGCACCAGCCCGAGCAGCCCACAGCCUCCCGCGCAUCGCGCCCAGGACCCUGGACUCGGACCCCAACUCCCAACUCACCGCCAGGCCGGAAGCAGGAAGGCGGAAGCCCGGCUUCCCCGCCCCGCCCACAGGUCGGCCGGGUCCGGAUCCGGCCUGAGGAAGUCGAGCGGCCAGUUUCCGGCUGCGCGGCCGCUGAGUGCGGCCCGGGACCUCGGCUUCCCGGGCGCGGGGCGGGGGCGGGGUCUCCGGGGGGUGGCAGGUGAGGCCGCGCGGGUGGGACUGGCCCUCGGGAGCGGGUGGGACGUCAGCGUCUCUGCCUUUGCCCCGAGGCCGGGAACGGAUCUAGGAAUGGAUAUGCUCUGACAUCAGUGGGGCCCCUGGAAACUCCGACCCCAGAGCGGCGGCGAGGAAGGCGUUGGUCCCCACAAACCGCCCAAAGUCAAGGUGAGGGCCACCCAGCGACUCCUUUCGCUGCAGUUAAAGCCUCGCGUAGAGGAGACGGAAAAACAGUUGGACCCUGGUGGGUGCGCUGAACCUUCUUACUAAGGGGAAAUGCAGCCGUGCUGUGUGAGGACUUUUUGCUGUUUGUUUUUAAUUGAAGAACCUAACUCAUUUCGCGAAAGAAUGAUCGAUAUUUACCCAAAGUAAACGAUCAGUAGUUAAACUGCAUCGAGUUCCCACAGAGGCACUUGUUCUUUCAGGACACAAGUAAAGGAUGCAAAAGCCAACCAGCAGGAGUGAGUUAAUGUUGUCUUCUGAUCUGCGGGAACCGAGAGAUGAGCUCUGGCUUGGUUGGCGACCAGACUUUGUGAUGGCUUGCACUGAACCGCGCUGUUUGACCACUUCUGCACAUGUUGCAAGACCUCUUCACUGUUGUAUGACAAAUAAAGCAGGUUUUUAUUCUCGAAAGACUAUGGAAUGUACUCUCUGAGGAGCAAGCUGUAACAUGUAUAACUAGUCUAGCGGCAGUUGUUUUCUUACUCUUGUUUGAAAACUUGGAUGAUGGUUUCAAAGCUACUUGGACCUAGCCUGUACCUGUCCUAGCCAGAAAAAGCAGAGUCAGUCCCUGGACUGUUUACCGAAAACUACUUGCUGGAGGCGGUCAUUCGACCAAGAGUUCAACUGGGAGUUUGACUGCUCACUAUGAUGUGCACUGACCACCAGGGGGCAGCACGGAACAUGGCGAGUGUCAGCAGACAUGGCGCUGGCAGCGGGUGGCAGUAGAGGCGCUGCCAGCUACGAUGGGCACCGAUGAGAGUGGGACCAUGGCAGGAUGGUGGAGCAGGAAACCAAGGACAGCUGUGGUGUGUUGAAAGCACAGGAGCCAUGCAAUCGGAAGGCCUGGGGUUUAAAUUCGAGUUCAUCACAGAUGUAAGCACCUAACAUGAUCAGCCAGAGUUUCUGGGAGUGCAGCUGGCGUUUCCAUUGCUGUGGAUGAAAGAUGGCCACGCUGUCUGACAUUUCUCCCAUCAAGAGGUGGGGUCUGCUUCUUUCACCCUUGAAAUUGGCCCAUGGCUACUCUGAAGAUUGAAGUGAUACUUUGUCAGAUCCAGGCCUAACCUUGGCUCGGAACCCUGGACCACAUGGGGAGACUCUAAAACUACAUGGAGAGGGAGAAGAGCCCAGCCAAGCCAACUUGAUAGUCUCCCCUCUAAUUUUCCAGACACGACUUGGACUCUCCACAUGAGACCAGGUACCAGCUGGAAACCACAUGAGGGUGGCCUCAAUCACUUGGAGCAGAAGAACCACCCAGCUGUGCCCUGCCAGAAUUCCUGAUCCACAGCAUCAUAAAAUGGUGUUGCUUUAAGCCUCUCUAAGUUUGGUGAUCCAGAUAACAAGAAUAUGCAGAUGUAACAAAUUCUCCAGGUUAUUCUUGUGUGUCCUAGAAUUUGAGUCAGUGUUGUAAAGGGAGCUGACAUUUAAUGAGUAAAGUUUUUUAUUAAAGAAUAGAAUAUAUAAACUCAUUUUCUACCUUGUCUGCAUAUCCUAAGAGAAGGAAGAUACGGUAAAAUAAAACUUCAUCACUUACAUUGUUGAACUCAUUUUGUUUCUUGGACAAUAGGCCAGUUCUGUUUCUGGCACAAACAAGAGAGGGCCUCCAGCUCUCCUGAACUUUUCUAGACAAUCCAGCACCACAGACAGUGUUAAUGAACAGUGUGACCUCAACGGAGUGAAGUUCAGCUCUGGAUUUAAAACGUAGUGAGCCCUGACAACAUUUGGUUUGGACGUAUUUUCUUCCACUGUGCUUCUAGGCCCAAACUGAGAAGAUUUUCUGUUUCUUUUUUUGUUUGUCUCAUGGGAGUAUAUUUUAAGACCGAAGCCUGUGGGUUUCUUUCAGGUUUCAUAAUGAAACCUUUAGGCUUGUAAGUCACAUGACCGAUCACUGCUUUGCCAUAGUUUUGGACGAAAACCACAGGACCCUACAAACCCCGCUGGGAUUGGUGGUUUUUGUUUUUGUUUCUCAACAAAGCAGUUUGGGCAAGUCUGAGAAAUUUUUUGCAGACUCAGCAGAGAUUGGUGUGAAACUCAGCAUCUCCUUUGGAUGCUUCAGCUCAGCGUCAGUGGGUUUGGACAAGCCCCGUGCUUAAAAAUGGAACUCUAAAAGCAUAAAACCACACAAGCCAGAAAUACUUUCUAAAAUGAGUUGAACCAAGCUGAAGCUGCUGCCAUUCGCGCCCUCUCUGUGCAGACAAGUAGAUGUGCCCCUUCCAACUCGAUGUCCCACCGGCCUUCAGCUCACUGGGUCUGCUGGGUCACAUGCUGGGCAGAGCUGUCUCUGAGAACAGAACUCUGGCCUCUGCUGAUGCUCUUCAGAGGUGGCCCUGUGUUUCCACAAACUCAAUAAUUCAAAGUCUGGCAAGGAAUCGAUCUCACCAUUUAUGUUAUUUCGUUCAUCUGAAAAACAAAACAUCCACAUGGUGGCAUCACUUGAGGACAGCUGACAAGUAAAUACCACCCUUGAAGCCUGCGGCUCCCAAACAGCCGGGGCCAUGGCAAGGCUGCAUCAACAUUGUUCCAAGUGCUGGUUAAAAUACAGAUUCCCAGGCAGCCCUCUGAGCCAGAGCUUCUGGGUGGGAGUCCAGGAAUCUUUAUUUUAAUGAGCUGCUCAGACGACUGUAUACAUCCAAGUUUAGGAAGCACUUCUGUGUUUAAAAAAUAUGACACUUCUGCUUCUGGCCCAGAUGGAGUAGCAGGGAUCAGAGGUCUCCUGCCUGAAACAACUGGAAAGCGGGCCAGGUUUACGAAGGAAUGGAUUUCGGCGGCAGAGGGUAUGACCGCCGAGAAGGGGACCAGUGAAUUUUUAGAUGCCAGAAAGGGGGAGUCGGGCAACACUUGGGAUGUGUUUAUAAAAUAUGUUUAUAAAAAGAGGUUACCAGGA